UACGAAGGGGGCUAGCGUUGUUCGGAUUUACUGGGCGUAAAGCGCGCGUAGGCGGGUCGCUAAGUCAGAGGUGAAAUCCCAAGGCUUAACCUUGGAACUGCCUUUGAUACUGGCAACCUGGAGAUCGGGAGAGGUUGGUGGAAUUCCGAGUGUAGAGGUGAAAUUCGUAGAUAUUCGGAGGAACACCAGAAGCGAAGGCGGCCAACUGGCCCGAUACUGACGCUGAGGUGCGAAAGCGUGGGGGAGCAAACAGGG
rnacentral:rRNA from 1 species